AGAAUGAACGCUGGCGGCAUGCCUAACACAUGCAAGUCGAACGAAGGCUUCGGCCUUAGUGGCGCACGGGUGCGUAACGCGUGGGAAUCUACCCCUUGGUUCGGAAUAACAGUUGGAAACGACUGCUAAUACCGGAUGAUGACGUAAGUCCAAAGAUUUAUCGCCGAGGGAUGAGCCCGCGUAGGAUUAGCUAGUUGGUGUGGUAAAAGCGCACCAAGGCGACGAUCCUUAGCUGGUCUGAGAGGAUGAUCAGCCACACUGGGACUGAGACACGGCCCAGACUCCUACGGGAGGCAGCAGUGGGGAAUAUUGGACAAUGGGCGAAAGCCUGAUCCAGCAAUGCCGCGUGAGUGAUGAAGGCCUUAGGGUUGUAAAGCUCUUUUACCCGGGAUGAUAAUGACAGUACCGGGAGAAUAGCUCCGGCUAACUCCGCGCCAGCAGCCGC
rnacentral:rRNA from 1 species